rnacentral:rRNA from 1 species
AACAGGAUUAGAUACCCUGGUAGUCCACGCUGUAAACGAUGUCGACUUGGAGGUUGUGCCCUUGAGGCGUGGCUUCCGGAGCUAACGCGUUAAGUCGACCGCCUGGGGAGUACGGCCGCAAGGUUAAAACUCAAAUGAAUUGACGGGGGCCCGCACAAGCGGUGGAGCAUGUGGUUUAAUUCGAUGCAACGCGAAGAACCUUACCUACUCUUGACAUCCAGAGAAUUUGCUAGAGAUAGCUUAGUGCCUUCGGGAACUCUGAGACAGGUGCUGCAUGGCUGUCGUCAGCUCGUGUUGUGAAAUGUUGGGUUAAGUCCCGCAACGAGCGCAACCCUUAUCCUUUGUUGCCAGCACGUAAUAGUGGGAACUCAAAGGAGACUGCCGGUGAUAAACCGGAGGAAGGUGGGGAUGACGUCAAGUCAUCAUGGCCCUUACGAGUAGGGCUACACACGUGCUACAAUGGCAUAUACAAAGAGAAGCGAACUCGCGAGAGCAAGCGGACCUCAUAAAGUAUGUCGUAGUCCGGAUUGGAGUCUGCAACUCGACUCCAUGAAGUCGGAAUCGCUAGUAAUCGUAGAUCAGAAUGCUACGGUGAAUACGUUCCCGGGCCUUGUACACACCGCCCGUCACACCAUGGGAGUGGGUUGCAAAAGAAGUAGGUAGCUUAACCUUCGGGAGGGCGCUUACCACUUUGUGAUUCAUGACUGGGGUGAAGUCGUAACAAGGUAACC